GGCGAGUGGCGGACGGGUGAGGAAUACAUCGGAAUCUACUCUGUCGUGGGGGAUAACGUAGGGAAACUUACGCUAAUACCGCAUACGACCUACGGGUGAAAGCAGGGGAUCUUCGGACCUUGCGCGAUUGAAUGAGCCGAUGUCGGAUUAGCUAGUUGGCGGGGUAAAGGCCCACCAAGGCGACGAUCCGUAGCUGGUCUGAGAGGAUGAUCAGCCACACUGGAACUGAGACACGGUCCAGACUCCUACGGGAGGCAGCAGUGGGGAAUAUUGGACAAUGGGCGCAAGCCUGAUCCAGCCAUACCGCGUGGGUGAAGAAGGCCUUCGGGUUGUAAAGCCCUUUUGUUGGGAAAGAAAUCCAGCCGGCUAAUACCUGGUUGGGAUGACGGUACCCAAAGAAUAAGCACCGGCUAACUUCGUGCCAGCAGCCGCGGUAAUACGAAGGGUGCAAGCGUUACUCGGAAUUACUGGGCGUAAAGCGUGCGUAGGUGGUCGUUUAAGUCCGUUGUGAAAGCCCUGGGCUCAACCUGGGAACUGCAGUGGAUACUGG
rnacentral:rRNA from 1 species